rnacentral:lncRNA from 1 species
GACGCACUGGAACAGGUUGCCCAGAGAGACUCUGGGUGCCCCAUUGCUGGAGGCGUUCAAGGCCAGGCUGGAUGUGGCUCUCAGCAGCCUGCUCUGCUGGUUUGCAGCCCUGCCCACAGCAGGGGGGUUGGAACUACAUGAUCUUUGAGGUCCUUUUCAACUCAGGCCGUUCUGUGAUUCUACGAUUAAGUGAACCAACUACCUAAUUCUCCUUUAAACGGCAAAAUCAGAAAAACAAAUGCCCUCUUUUCUAGAGCUUCUCUCCAGCAGCAGUGAACAGAUGGCCCCCUGCUGCUCACCACAAAUGUGUUAUUAUUACUUCAACCAAAAUCUCCUUUAGAAGAAAGCAAGGCAAUGUUUGUUUUACUUCCAGAUAACCUUGAAAAAGGCAAAACCACAAUAAUACAGUUAAAACAAAACAGAACAAAACAAAAAAGAGGAACAAAGAGGAAUGUAGAAAAAAAAAGUAGAAAAAUAAAGUAAAAUGAAGAAGAAAAAAAGGAAAGGGAAGGGAAUGGAAAAACAAAACAAAACAAAACAAAACAAAGAGAACAAAGAAAGAGAAAAAAAGAAAAGAGCAAAAAGACAGUGACCCAACAGGUUCAAAGCCUCUGAAUAUACACCUUCAGAUAUCUGCUUGAAAAACAUACUAAAAAUUACAAAACUGUGAUCGCUCGUUCUUCAUUUACUGCAAUAUCAAGCUGGUCAGCUUGAAUCAUUCAGAUCCAAGGUAAUUAUUUCUUAGUAGAUGCUAACACCCUGUCUGCCCUUAGUAUAAUGGUCAAAUUGGUAAAACAAGACUGAUCACCCACUCCCCUAAAUCCAAGGUAUUCUGGAUUGUGUCAGCUGAGAGUCCAUUUCCUUUGGGUUAUUGCUGUUCCUAAGACUUAAGGGUAAUAGAAACCUAUUCAAACAAUAGCAGUCUCAAUUAAAAGUGUGUGAUAUACACUAUUCAGACUCCAAGGUUAGAAAAACACGUUUUGAAA